GUCCGGAUAGCUUGGUAGGUUAGAGCAUGGUGCUGAUAACGCCAAGGUUGCAGGUUCGAUUUCCAUACGGGAUA